rnacentral:rRNA from 1 species
ACGUAGCUUUUGGUAGUGAAUAGCAAUAUGUAUAGAUCUCGUGUUGCAGUAAAGAUAGGUGUGUGCGAAAGUCACACCCCACUCAUAGCGUGCAGUGAUAGCGGCCCCUACCCCCCCCGCGGGGGUGGUGGCGCACUACAUCACGGUGUCUAGGACCAACAAAAAAAUGGUGGGUGGGGGCAAACAAAAAACAAGAUAAAUAAAGAAUCCUCUAUGGCAUCGUCCCCCACCCUCCCAUCAAACCGAAUCGCGAAACGUAGGGUGGUGUGGGGGAAGAGAGAAAAUUUUUUUUAAGUUUCUUGAUAGGUAAACGGGGGUGAGAAUGUUUCGCCCCCCGGGGGGGAGGAGGGGGUCCCAAAUGAUUUAAGAACCUAAAAAGGGAUAUUGAGCGGGGGGCCCCCGCCCCCAAGGGGGGUGGAUGAUGUGUGAUUAAAUUUGGGAGGCAAGGGGAAAAAUCCUUUCCCCUACCCCUUUACAAUCCCAGGGACCCCUGCUAAGAAGGCGGGGGGUGCCCCGAAAGGGAAGCCUUGAACCACAGGGUGUUGUAAUGGCUGUCGUCACCUCGUGACGUGGGGAUGUGGGGGUUAACCCCCCCGCCACGAGCGCAACCCUUGCCAUUAAUUGCCAUCAUUUGGUUGGGCACUUUAAUGGGACUGCCGGUGACAAACCGGAGGAAGGUGGGGAUGACGUCAAGUCCUCAUGGCCCUUAUGGGUAGGGCUUCACACGUCAUACAAUGGUCGGUACAGAGGGUUGCCAAGCCGCGAGGCGGAGCCGAUCCCAGAAAGCCGAUCGUAGUCCGGAUCGUAGUCUGCAACUCGACUGCGUGAAGUCGGAAUCGCUAGUAAUCGCGGAUCAGCAUGUCGCGGUGAAUACGUUCCCGGGUCUUGUACACACCGCCCGUCACACCAUGGGAGCGGGUUUCACCAGAAGUAGGUAGUCUAACCGCAAGGAGGGCGCUUUCCACGGUGAGAUUCGUGACUGGGGUGAAGUCGUAACAAGUACCAAGGCGAUAUCAGUCAAGUAAGAUGUAA